rnacentral:rRNA from 1 species
UACGUAGGGUGCGAGCGUUGUCCGGAAUUAUUGGGCGUAAAGAGCUCGUAGGUGGUUUGUCGCGUUGUUCGUGAAAACUCACAACUCAAUUGUGGGCGUGCGGGCGAUACGGGCAGACUGGAGUACUGCAGGGGAGACUGGAAUUCCCGGUGUAGCGGUGGAAUGCGCAGAUAUCAGGAGGAACACCGAUGGCGAAGGCAGGUCACUGGGCCGCAACUGACGCUGAGGAGCGAAAGCAUGGGGAGCGAACAGG